GACGAACGCUGGCGGCGUGCCUAAUACAUGCAAGUCGAACGCAGUGGGGACUGGUGAGUAACACGUGGGUAACCUCCCAUCAGAGGGGAUAACACUUGGAAACACGUGCUAAACCGAUACUGAUGGCUGAACCCGCGGGGCAUUAGCUAGUUGGUGAGGUAACGGCUCACCAAGGCCACGAUGCAUAGCCGGUCUGAGAGGAUGAUCGGCCACACUGGGACUGAGACACGGCCCAGACUCCUACGGGAGGCAGCAGUAGGGAAUCUUCGGCAAUGGGCGAAAGUCUGACCGAGCAACGCCGCGUGAGUGAAGAAGGUUUUCGGGUCGUAAAGCUCUGUUGUUAGAGAAGCGUUAUCUAAACAGAAAGCAACGGCUAACUACGUGCCAGCAGCCGCGGUAAUAC
rnacentral:rRNA from 1 species